rnacentral:rRNA from 1 species
AUUGAACGCUGGCGGCAUGCUUUACACAUGCAAGUCGAACGGCAGCGCGGGGCAACCUGGCGGCGAGUGGCGAACGGGUGAGUAAUAUAUCGGAACGUACCCAGAAGUGGGGGAUAACGUAGCGAAAGUUACGCUAAUACCGCAUACGAUCUACGGAUGAAAGUAGGGGACCGCAAGGCCUUAUGCUUUUGGAGCGGCCGAUAUCUGAUUAGCUAGUUGGUGAGGUAAAGGCUCACCAAGGCGACGAUCAGUAGCUGGUCUGAGAGGACGACCAGCCACACUGGAACUGAGACACGGUCCAGACUCCUACGGGAGGCAGCAGCGGGGAAUUUUGGACAAUGGGCGCAAGCCUGAUCCAGCAAUGCCGCGUGAGUGAAGAAGGCCUUCGGGUUGUAAAGCUCUUUUGUCAGGGAAGAAACGGUAGAGGCUAAUAUCCUUUGCUAAUGACGGUACCUGAAGAAUAAGCACCGGCUAACUACGUG